CAUGCAGUCGAGCGGAACGAUGGUAGCUUGCUACCAGGCGUCGAGCGGCGGACGGGUGAGUAAUACUUAGGAAUCUACCUAGUAGUGGGGGAUAGCUCGGGGAAACUCGAAUUAAUACCGCAUACGACCUACGGGAGAAAGGGGGCAGUUUACUGCUCUCGCUAUUAGAUGAGCCUAAGUCGGAUUAGCUAGAUGGUGGGGUAAAGGCCUACCAUGGCGACGAUCUGUAGCUGGUCUGAGAGGAUGAUCAGCCACACCGGGACUGAGACACGGCCCGGACUCCUACGGGAGGCAGCAGUGGGGAAUAUUGGACAAUGGGGGAAACCCUGAUCCAGCCAUGCCGCGUGUGUGAAGAAGGCCUUUUGGUUGUAAAGCACUUUAAGCAGUGAAGAAGACUCCUUGGUUAAUACCCACGGACGAUGACAUUAGCUGCAGAAUAAGCACCGGCUAACUCUGUGCCAGCAGCCGCGGUAAUACAGAGGGUGCAAGCGUUAAUCGGAAUUACUGGGCGUAAAGGGAGCGUAGGUGGCUCGAUAAGUCAGAUGUGAAAUCCCCGGGCUCAACCUGGGAACUGCAUCUGAUACUGUUGAGCUAGAGUAUGUGAGAGGAAGGUAGAAUUCCAGGUGUAGCGGUGAAAUGCGUAGAGAUCUGGAGGAAUACCGAUGGCGAAGGCAGCCUUCUGGCAUAAUACUGACACUGAGGCUCGAAAGCGUGGGUAGCAAACAGGAUUAGAUACCCUGGUAGUCCACGCCGUAAACGAUGUCUACUAGUCGUUGGGUCCCUUGAGGACUUAGUGACGCAGCUAACGCAAUAAGUAGACCGCCUGGGGAGUACGGCCGCAAGGUUAAAACUCAAAUGAAUUGACGGGGGCCCGCACAAGCGGUGGAGCAUGUGGUUUAAUUCGAUGCAACGCGAAGAACCUUACCUGGUCUUGACAUAUCUAGAAUCCUGCAGAGAUGCGGGAGUGCCUUCGGGAAUUAGAAUACAGGUGCUGCAUGGCUGUCGUCAGCUCGUGUCGUGAGAUGUUGGGUUAAGUCCCGCAACGAGCGCAACCCUUGUCCUUAGUUACCAGCGGGUUAAGCCGGGAACUCUAAGGAUACUGCCAGUGACAAACUGGAGGAAGGCGGGGACGACGUCAAGUCAUCAUGGCCCUUACGACCAGGGCUACACACGUGCUACAAUGGUAGGUACAGAGGGCAGCUACACAGCGAUGUGAUGCGAAUCUCAAAAAGCCUAUCGUAGUCCAGAUUGGAGUCUGCAACUCGACUCCAUGAAGUAGGAAUCGCUAGUAAUCGCGGAUCAGAAUGCCGCGGUGAAUACGUUCCCGGGCCUUGUACACACCGCCCGUCACACCAUGGGAGUUGAUUGCACCAGAAGUGGAUAGCUUAACCUUCGGGGGAGCG
rnacentral:rRNA from 1 species